CACUUUGUCCAAGAGGAGCAGCAAACCCUAGCCGCCACCUCCUAAAACCCUAGCACCCAUCAAGCCUUUGCGUUUAGAGCUCAGAUGCCUCCAUCCCUAGACACCCUGCCUAUUUUGGCUUCCACCUCUUGCCGCCCCAUCUUUUGGUGGUUUGAGGUUUGUUUCCAAGUUUCCACACUGAGAAGGAGAGAUCCAAUAAUUGGUAUCAGAGCUUUGGUUUUACGUGGAAAGGAGAGAGAAAUCAGA
rnacentral:lncRNA from 1 species